GACAGAGGGUGCAAACGUGUUCGGAAUUACUGGGCGUAAAGCGCGUGUAGGCGGCUAAGUAAGUCGGGCGUGAAAUCCCACGGCUCAACCGUGGAAGUGCACUCGAAACUGCAUAGCUAGAGUCCUGGAGAGGAAGGUGGAAUGCUUGGUGUAGAGGUGAAAUUCGUAGAUAUCAAGCGGAACACCGGUGGCGAAGGCGGCCUUCUGGACAGUGACUGACGCUGAGACGCGAA
rnacentral:rRNA from 1 species